CGGGUAGCGGAACACGUACAGAACCUUCCUUUAAGCGGGGGAUAGCCCGAAGAAAUUCGGAUUAAUACCCCAUAGUAUAAUUUGAUGGCAUCAUUAGAUUAUUAAAGAUUUAUCACUUAGAGAUGGCUGUGCGGCUGAUUAGGUAGUUGGUCGGGGUAACGGCCCACCAAGCCUGCGAUCAGUAACUGGUGUGAGAGCACGACCAGUCACACGGGCACUGAGACACGGGCCCG
rnacentral:rRNA from 1 species